GGGAAGAAGUCUCGAUUCGAUCUCCAUAAUCUUGGAGUACACUUUGCCGACAACUAGAUCACGCUCUUUGCUGCUGAGCUCCGUUCCCUCCUCUGGCAGGUCGACGUCCUUGUCAAGAUUGCAUUGAAGAGCAGUGCUGAUGAUGGUACUUACGAUCUGUGGUCCGCGGCCUGUGUCUUUGAGGGAUUGGUAGGAGGAGAUGAGCUCACCGAGUUGUUUAAGACCUUUGUAGAGACCGGCAUUCUCCGCCGGUGGAGUGAGAUAACUGAUUGUGUUUGCAUAGCUCCGACGUU
rnacentral:lncRNA from 1 species